rnacentral:rRNA from 1 species
ACUUAUUCAAAAAGGUAGUACUAUAAAAGGAAACCUAAUAAUUAUGGCGGUUUUAUUUUUUUAGAGAAACUCGCCAAAUAAUUGAUAAUUCCCAUUAAUUUUUACUCCUUUUCACAGUUUAUAUACCGCCGUUAUAUGAAUAAAUCACAAGAUGAAUCCUCAAUAUAUAAUCUAUAAAAAUUCAGGUCAAGGUGUAACAAAUAAAGUAGUUUUAAGGUAAGUUACAUUAAAUACAAUUUAAGGAAAAACAUAAAAAUAAAGUUUAGAAAAAGAAUUUAACUGUACAUUAAAAUUAAAAUUUUUAAUCGAAAUAUUAAAAUAAAACGU